GUAGGUGGCAAGCGUUGUCCGGGAAUUAUUGGGGCGUAAAGCGCGCGCAGGCGGUCCUUUAAGGUCUGAUGUGAAAGCCCACGGGCUCAACCGUGGAGGGUCAUUGGAAACUGGGGGACUUGAGUGCAGAAGAGAAGAGUGGAAUUCCACGUGUAGCGGUGAAAUGCGUAGAGAUGUGGAGGAACACCAGUGGCGAAGGCGACUCUUUGGUCUGUAACUGACGCUGAGGCGCGAAAGCGUGGGGAGCAAACAGGAUUAGAUACCCUGGUAGUCCACGCCGUAAACGAUGAGUGCUAAGUGUUAGAGGGUUUCCGCCCUUUAGUGCUACAGCAAACGCAUUAAGCACUCCGCCUGGGGAGUACGGCCGCAAGGCUG
rnacentral:rRNA from 1 species